rnacentral:rRNA from 1 species
GAUGAACGCUGGCGGCGUGCCUAAUACAUGCAAGUCGAGCGAACAGAUGAUGAGCUUGCUCCUCUGACGUUAGCGGCUGACGGGUGAGUAACACGUGUAUAACCUACCUAUAAUACUGGGAUAACUUCGGGAAACCGGAGCUAAUACCGGAUAAUAUAUUGAACCGCAUGGUUCAAUAGUGAAAGACGGUUUUGCUGUCACUUAUAGAUGUAUCCGCGCCGCAUUAGCUAGUUGGUAAGGUAACGGAUUACCAAGGCAACGAUGCGUAGCCGACCUGAGAGGGUGAUCGGCCACACUGGAACUGAGACACGGUCCAGACGCCUACGGGAGGCAGCAGUAGGGAAUCUUCCGCAAUGGGCGAAAGCCUGACGGAGCAACGCCGCGUGAGUGAUGAAGGUCUUCGGAUCGUAAAACUCUGUUAUUAGGGAAGAAAAAAUGUGUAAGUAACUAUGCACGUCUUGACGGUACCUAAUCAGAAAGCCACGGCUAACUACGUG